rnacentral:lncRNA from 1 species
UCGUAAUAUUAAUUUUAAUUGAAUGACAGAGCAAUAGGAAAGAAGAGUACAGUCCAGAGGUGGCGUCCCGGGUCUUCCGGACAUGGUCUCUGCCAAGAGCUCCAGGUUGGGCUGUGCUGGGAGCCCCUUCCCCAGCCAACACCUGGCAGGGGGGAGUCCAGCAGCACUCAGGGGCAGUCCUGGCAGCACCAAGAAAGGCCUGUUAUUCACAGCCAAACAGCAGGAAGAGGUUCCCCACGUCCACUGGGCAAAUGCGGAAGGUGAGGUCCAGGCGAGGGCAGGACCCAUCCAGGAAACCCUCUGGCUGUGAAAAGAGCCCCAAGCAUGGAUCCAACACCACUCUCUACUGCUGGGGAACUCACUGGGGCACCGCGCUGUUCCCUAGGUUGAAAACAAAGGAAUUUCGGUCUCACUGGCAACCCUUAGAAUUUCAUGUACUCUGUCUACUGGGUUGGCAGAACCUCCCAGGCAAGUGGCUGAUUUUGACAGGAUGUGAUGUAGCUACCUAGAUGGCAGUGGACAUGGCUAGCCGGUCAGCCGACAUGUGAGAAUGGAUCCAGAGGUCCAAUGCGGAAAGCAGAUAAAGAACUCACUUGGUUCAAGUCAAAGGUGGUGUAACCACUCGAUGCACUACAGCUGGGUAGCAGUUCAAAGGAAAGAGGUGGGUGAUGCGGACUGCACCCCUGGGAGAGACUACAUAGGCUGGGUAAUACUCUUUAUCACAGGUCUAUAGACUGUGCCUGUGUCUGCGUACACGUGCACAAAUGAAUUAGAAAGAUCUGCAAAGACGUGUUCCAAAGCGAUGACAAAUGUUACACAGAGACAAUGAAGAGCCCAGCACUGGAGACGGAGAACUGCAGGAUGUUUGGCCCUAUUGGGAAAGCUCUUUUUCUGCCCCAAGACAGAUGCGUUCUCUUAGUAUUUGUGUAACGAAAGAUUGACAUUUAUAAAAAUGAGAAAGCAAACAGAAUUUUAAUGACUCCCCUACAGGUUUGAGUGCCUACGAUGUGCUGGCCCACUGCAGGGUGAAAAGCACAGCCCCUGUCCACCUUACAGUCUGACCAUGGGCAGCGGUGGCUCGCUGGGUGAGCAGGAUGAGGCAUGUUAGUGUGUGUCGCUCAAACAAGAAAGUAGAGCAGAGGAGGGAAAUCAAGAAAGUGCCCUCCAUGCUCCACUGGAGACCCGAGGCCAGAACAGUGCCCCAGGAAGUCCUCCCAGGGCUCCGCUGAGGGGCGGGGAGUCCUUUGUCAUUUUAAAGGCGGCCCCACUGCCUCUGACUUCAGUCUUCCAAGGAACGUGACAGCACAAAGAACAGCUUGCGGUUCCCAGGGUUCCCAGGCAUCUGACCCCGCAACAGGGAGGUGGUUUUGUUGCUCUUGAAGGGCAUCAGCUGCUUGCCUGUUUUUAUCAGUACAUAUGGUUUACUCUGCUAGGCUACAAACGGCCUCCACCAAAACUGCUGUUUUGAUUUGGGUUUCUAAAAAUAACUCCUGGGAAGCCUGCAGUGUGAGAGGAAGAUGCUGUACACAGCUCCGGGAGGAAAAGUACGAAGCAUUUGAUCUGAAUUACCUAAGGGCUGAAACUGAGUGCAAGUAUCUAUCUCCUUGCAGCAACUGCCAUAUAAUUAGCCAUCCUAAUAGAAUGCUUUCAAAGCCUAGGCAGUCCAACAAGUAAGUUUAAUUGAAAAUAAAAUUUCCAGACCAACUGUUUUGUCAAAACCACAUUAAAUGAAGAUAGCUCAGCAAUGACUGAAGCCCCAGGGAGAAGUGUGAUGUGGACGGAGACGGGCUGGGAAGGAGGGAGGGGUACACAGAAAAAAUCGGUGGCGAUUUUCUGAGCUCUCCGCUCCAGUUCCUGCGUCUGCACAGUGCUGGGGGAAGAGCAUCCAAUUCGCUCUGGGUCUGUAUGACGGCUGCCUUUGCCUCUUGUGUAGGUGCUACAAUCUCCAGGAGAGGAAAAGCCAGGAUCAGACUCUCAGGCAUGGGGGGAAGAGAAGAGAAAGACGAUGCUGGCCACGUGACCCAGCUGCUGGCAGCACAGGGCGCGUUUGUUCCGCUGGAGGAGGAGCACGCUUACCCAAGGGCUCCCAGAGCCACAGGCUGGGACUGCCUUAACAUGUGGAAGUCCACCUUGGCUGCUUCCCCGCUGUGUGGCUUCUGCUGAGUCAGUCAGCAUCUCUGAGUGGUGGUUUUCUCCCC